rnacentral:tRNA from 1 species
GGAGUAGUACCCGAGAGGCUCAAGGGGACGGUUUGCUAAACCGUUAGGUCGGGUAACUGGCGCAAGGGUUCGAACCCCUUCUACUCCGCCA